CCGAGUUUACAACUCCCAAACCCAAUGUGAACGUUACCAAACUGUUGCCUCGGCGGGAUCUUCUGCCCCGGGUGCGUCGCAGCCCCGGACCAAGGCGCCCGCCGGAGGACCAACUCCAAAACUCUUUUGUAUACCCCCUCGCGGGUUUUUUAUAUCUGAGCCAUCUCGGCGCCUCUCGUAGGCGUUUCGAAGAUGAAUCA
rnacentral:misc_RNA from 1 species